UGAGUUUUGACACUCCUAGAGACUGAUUUAUAAAUCUCUGCAAUGACAAAAGAACCCCUGAAAGACACGAUCAGUUGUGCCCGUGUUUGAUCGCCCCAGAAGAUACCGAGGAACUUUAAGUUUCUGGAAGCGUUGCUAUAUAUGAGAGUUGUCGCCCCACGGUUCCAGUCCACAAGGAUGAUGUUCAUGUCGUCUACAGAAAGCAGGAGACGUACCAAGUCAGGAAUCCACAGCGGAGGAGAGCCUGUGAGUCGGUAUCCAUGGACAAUGAAGUAACAGUAGGUGUGGUGAAAGGAGGAAGUUACCAGCCGAGAAAUGGAGGCCAGUCUUUAGUUAUACAACCAAAGCUGCUUCUUAAAAAAGCAAGUUCUGCCAAUGGUUUGAAGGAAUUGGUCCGACAACAGUGAAACACGCAAGAUGAACAGAAGGAUUUUACUUAUUGCAAAAGACAUUUGAGAAUCAGAGAUAAAAUGGGACAAAGAAAUCAAG